UAGGCUAGCUAGGUCAAGUGAUAUGGAUC
rnacentral:piRNA from 1 species